rnacentral:rRNA from 1 species
AGUGAACGCUGGCGGUAGGCCUAACACAUGCAAGUCGAACGGCAGCACAGUAAGAUCUUGCUCUUACGGGUGGCGAGUGGCGGACGGGUGAGGAAUACAUCGGAAUCUACUUUUUCGUGGGGGAUAACGUAGGGAAACUUACGCUAAUACCGCAUACUACCUACGGGUGAAAGCAGGGGAUCUUCGGACCUUGCGCGAUUGAAUGAGCCGAUGUCGGAUUAGCUAGUUGGCGGGGUAAAGGCCCACCAAGGCGACGAUCCGUAGCUGGUCUGAGAGGAUGAUCAGCCACACUGGAACUGAGACACGGUCCAGACUCCUACGGGAGGCAGCAGUGGGGAAUAUUGGACAAUGGGCGCAAGCCUGAUCCAGCCAUACCGCGUGGGUGAAGAAGGCCUUCGGGUUGUAAAGCCCUUUUGUUGGGAAAGAAAAGAAGCAGGUUAAUACCCGGAUGUUCUGACGGUACCCAAAGAAUAAGCACCGGCUAACUUCGUG